GUAGGUGGCAAGCGUUGUCCGGAAUUAUUGGGGCGUAAAGCGCGCGCAGGCGGUUCUUUAAGUCUGAUGUGAAAGCCCACGGGCUCAACCGUGGAGGGUCAUUGGAAACUGGAGAACUUGAGUACAGAAGAGGAAAGCGGAAUUCCACGUGUAGCGGUGAAAUGCGUAGAGAUGUGGAGGAACACCAGUGGCGAAGGCGGCUUUCUGGUCUGUAACUGACGCUGAGGCGCGAAAGCGUGGGGAGCAAACAGGAUUAGAUACCCUGGUAGUCCACGCCGUAAACGAUGAGUGCUAAGUGUUAGGGGGUUCCCGCCCCUUAGUGCUGCAGCUAACGCAUUAAGCACUCCGCCUGGGGAGUACGGCCGCAAAGGCUG
rnacentral:rRNA from 1 species